AGUGAACGCUGGCGGUAGGCCUAACACAUGCAAGUCGAACGGCAGCACAGUAAGAGCUUGCUCUUACGGGUGGCGAGUGGAGGACGGGUGAGGAAUACAUCGGAAUCUACUUUUUCGUGGGGGAUAACGUAGGGAAACUUACGCUAAUACCGCAUACGACCUACGGGUGAAAGCAGGGGAUCUUCGGACCUUGCGCGAUUGAAUGAGCCGAUGUCGGAUUAGCUAGUUGGCGGGGUAAAGGCCCACCAAGGCGACGAUCCGUAGCUGGUCUGAGAGGAUGAACCGCCACACUGGGACUGAAACGCGGUCCAGACUCCUACGGGGGGCAGCAGUGGGGUAUAUUGGACAAUGGGCGCAAGCCUGAUCCAGCCAUACCGCGUGGGUGAAGAAGGCCUUCGGGUUGUAAAGCCCUUUUGUUGGGAAAGAAAAGCAGCAGGUUAAUACCCCGCUGUUCUGACGGUACCCAAAGAAUAAGCACCGGCUAACUUCGUG
rnacentral:rRNA from 1 species